rnacentral:rRNA from 1 species
AUUGAACGCUGGCAGCAUGCCUUACACAUGCAAGUCGAACGGUAACAGGUCUUCGGAUGCUGACGAGUGGCGAACGGGUGAGUAAUACAUCGGAACGUGCCUAGUAGUGGGGGAUAACUACUCGAAAGAGUGGCUAAUACCGCAUGAGAUCUACGGAUGAAAGCAGGGGAUCGCAAGACCUUGUGCUACUAGAGCGGCCGAUGGCAGAUUAGGUAGUUGGUGGGAUAAAAGCUUACCAAGCCGACGAUCUGUAGCUGGUCUGAGAGGACGAUCAGCCACACUGGGACUGAGACACGGCCCAGACUCCUACGGGAGGCAGCAGUGGGGAAUUUUGGACAAUGGGCGCAAGCCUGAUCCAGCAAUGCCGCGUGCAGGAUGAAGGCCUUCGGGUUGUAAACUGCUUUUAUACGGAACGAAAAGCCCCCGGUUAAUACCCUGGGGUCAUGACGGUACCGUAAGAAUAAGCACCGGCUAACUACGUGCCAGCAGCCGCAGUAA